rnacentral:rRNA from 1 species
ACGUAGGUUCCGAGCGUUAUCCGGAUUUACUGGGCGUAAAGCGCGUUCAGGCGGCGCGGUAAGUCGGGUGUGAAAUCUCGGAGCUUAACUCCGAAACUGCAUUCGAUACUGCCGUGCUUGAGGACUGGAGAGGAGACUGGAAUUUACGGUGUAGCGGUGAAAUGCGUAGAUAUCGUAAGGAAGACCAGUGGCGAAGGCGGGUCUCUGGACAGUUCCUGACGCUGAGGCACGAAGGUCAGGGGAGCAAACGGG